AUGAAGCUGGAUUCGCUAGUAAUCGCGCAUCAGCCACGGCGCGGUGAAUACGUUCCCGGGCCUUGUACACACCGCCGUCAAGCCAUGGGAGCCGGGAGUGCCUGAAGUACGUGACCGCAAGGAGCGUCCUAGGGUAAGACCGGUGACUGGGGCUAAGUCGUAACAAGGUAUC
rnacentral:rRNA from 1 species